UAGAGGAAAAUAUAAAAGCACUUUGGCUUCAUCUGAACAUGAAGUGAAAGAGUAUCUAACAUUGAUUAAAGAGAUCUUAUUAAUAUAAGUAAUAUGAGGCUAAAAUUAUUUCAUAGGGGAUUAGACUAAAAUACAAUAACCAUGACGGAAAUUUUGACUCUGUCUGGGAGUGGGCAGUAAACCAAAGUGGUUUUAUUUCCCCUAACUGAAAAUCUUGUGAUUCUUUAGAAGGAAGGACUGGACUAUGUCUACACAUCCACAAUGGUAUUGUCAAACCUAAUCGCAAUAACAGUUCUCAUCUUUUUACCCUUGAAGUAUUUGGGAGCAGUCGAGAUGCAAGAGGUUAAAAUUGGAGAGGUGGUGUCAAUAAACUGUAAUCUCUCGUUCUUCAAUGAAAUCCACUGGUUAAAGAUAAGCGCAGAGGGACAGCCAACCUCUCUGAUGGUCACAAUUUUAAAGCAUGAUGGAAAUGUGUCUCCUGUCUGGAAUUCAAAGCCGUCUCAUUUUGAAAAUUUUGAAAGGAGUACCAGACUGAAAAUCCUUAAUGUCUCUACUAAUGACCUUGGCACAUACUACUGUGCAACGUUUAAAGGAAAAGAGAUGAAUUUUGGGAAAGGAGUGAACAUAUACACAAACCAACAGGGCAGUAAAGAAAAAGAACAGCUUUCGCAAGGUUUAUCCCCAGGUUUUGGUGGACUUUCUCUACAUUACCAAGCAUUUGCAGCAGUAAUGAGUUUUGGCAUACUGGGAAUGCUGCUGGCUGUUUCUAUGGUGCAUCUAAAGACCAGGACAAAGAACAUUGAAAAAAUAAACACACAGAAUAGUAUUUGAAAACAGAUGUAUUAUCCUUCUUGUUCAUUUAAAUAAAACAAUUACAAUCUUUUAGAAGCAUCUUAAUUAAAAAAACUUAAUUUGUCAUGUUUGAGUUGUAAUAUUUUAUACUUAGCUGAGAUUACAUUUAUAUUAUGCAAGCAUGCAUUUGAUACAUUAAAGAUAAAAUUAUGAUAACAGAAAGCACUGUAAGAUGAUGCAUCAAGGGUUGCCGAGUCUGCGAUUACAUUUAAACUGUUGUACCGGGUUGAAUAUAGAAGGGUUUUUUAAAAGAAAUUAUGUAAAAUGCUUGUAAAAUAUAAAUUUUAGAUACAGGAGGGGCUGUGGCCCGUUGGAUUAGGUUUGUCAGAUCUGGCAACCCUGUCUGCUUGCGUCUUUGAAGUUAACUAAGCAGAAUAGUUGUGUAUUGUUGUGAAAUAAUGACUUAAAUUGAUGACUUAAUACAAUCACAGGUUUACUUUAAAGUUUUAUCCAAGUCAUACCGAGGUAUUUAAAUUUUUAUUGCUCGUUUUAAGGAUUUUGUUCGCAUUUGUUCAGUCAACUUCCGGGUUUGUCUGGUGGUGUUUACAAACCGCUUCGAGUCGUUUUCGAUUUUUAAUCAAUAAAUAAAUUCAACUUUAUGAUGUCGACGGAAAGUGUUGCUUAAAACUGAUAGAAGAAGUCAGUGGGCUGGAGUCUUACACAUUAUCGCUUCGUUUCUCCGCUGGUGCCGCGUGCGUUUACACUUUGUGGAAGUUCGGUGCACACAACUCAGAAAGAGGUUAACAACAAGAAUAAACCACACGUGCUGGUACCUUUGUUGUCAAUGUUCUAAACUCAGAAGGCAUUCUACCAGCUAUGAUGUUCUCUGGAACCAUUUGGAAUCCUGUCGGAGUCCUCCUUACAUUUGUCUUGCAGCCUGUUCUGUCAGAAAUAUCAAAACCUGUCGUUGUGAAUCUGGGGGACACCACCGUUCUCAAUUGUAACUCAACAUGUAACCGAGAACUCUUAUGGACAUUUAAACCCAACAGUGAAAAUCUGCAGGUUUUAAAAUGUGUCCAAGGAAACUGCACAGAGGGAGACGGCUUUAAGAGAAGAGCAGAGAUAAAGCAUGGCACAUCUCUCACCUUACAUCCUAGCCUCUACAAUGAUGAAGGCUGGUAUGAGUCACGCUGUGAUUCAGAGAUUCUCUGUACUGUCCACUUAGAUGUUCUGGUACCCACUAGUGUGAACGCCUCAGUCCAACACAACGUCACAUUACCCUGCUAUGCACGUACAGAGAAAUUAAUGGCUGAUGAUGCCAUGAAGAUUCUCUGGAAAAAGGACCGCGAACCGUUUUUAGAAGUCAAAAACGGACAUACAAGCUAUGGUUCUGGUUUUACAAAGAGGGCCUCGGUUUCAUUGAAUGAUUACAGGGAUGGAGAUCUUUCUCUUUCUAUAUCCAUGGUCACUCUAUCAGACAGUGGAUUAUACCAGUGCUAUUACGAAACAGAGGAACCGGGGCAUCCCGGAGCUAUCACGCUCACUGUUACAGCUCAUCGGAGCAUAAUUGAAAGACAGGUGGGUGAUAAUUUGACACUUGAUGUGAUGAACUCGGAGCAGGUGACAGUAACUUUCAUCAAUUCUGAGGGCGUUGGCAUGCUUGUCUGCAGUGUUGAGGGAAGAACCUCCUCAUGUGACCCUAAAUAUAAACACAGAGUGUUUGUCGUAAAUGCCUCUCUUGUGCUGAGUGGUUUGACAUCUGCCGAUAGUGGAACAUUUACUCUGCAAGACAACAUGGGAAAUAUCAUGAGUGUCUGCACUGUAACAGUGAAGGAUGUGGCCGAGAUAUAUUCCAGGAGAGCUGUGCUCACAGUGAUUCUUUUACCUAUUCUUUUUAUUAUUUGUGUUGCUCUUGCUGGCCUCAUCCUUUGGUAUCUAUGUUAUAGAAAGCCACAACAGCAGCAAAGAAAUUGGCCUUUUAACAGUCAACAGUCUACUGUGGAUAUAGAAACGAUACCAUUAAGAGAGCCCGCAAAAAUUGGAUUGUCACAGGAAGAAACCGGCCAUGAUGUUCAAGAGCAACCUGACAUCCCCCACACACCUGUAGAGGAGACAAGUCCUGAGAUUGUGAUGCCCACUGAAAAGAAAGACACUUUGUUCUUAGAAUAGAUAGGAUUAACCAAUUUACUUGCACUUUGCGUCUUGAAAAUACCUUUUUAAAAAGAAGUUGAAAGCAUAUUUUUCAUUAUUUGCACUUGUUUCUCAUCAUAUUAUUGCGUUGUAUGUAUUUUUGUUUCCAUUUAUUUUUAUUCUUUUUAAUUUAAUUCCUGUUUAUUCUGCACUUUCUUCUGCUAUGCCUGCACUUCUUCAUUGGAAGCUCCUGUUACCGUGAUCAAUUCCUUGUGUUUGUAAACAUACUUUGCAAUAAAGCUCUUUCUGAUUUUU